CCUACGAGUGGCAGCAGUGAGGAAUAUUGGUCAAUGGGCGCGAGCCUGAACCAGCCAAGUAGCGUGAAGGAUGACUGCCCUACGGGUUGUAAACUUCUUUUAUCAAGGAAUAAAGUGAGGCACGUGUGCCUUUUUGUAUGUACUUUAUGAAUAAGGAUCGGCUAACUCCGUGCCAUCAGCCGCGGUAAUACGGAGGAUCCGAGCGUUAUCCGGAUUUAUUGGGUUUAAAGGGAGCCUAGAUGGGUAGUUAAGUCAGUUGUGAAGGUUUGCGGCUCAACCGUAAACUUGCAAUGGAUACUGGCAGUCUUGAGUACAGUAGAGGUAGGCGGAAUGCGUGGUGUAGCGGUGAAAUGCUUAGAUAUCACGCAGAACUCCGAUUGCGAAGGCAGCUUACUAAACUGCCACUGACAUUGAUGCUCGAAAGUGUGGGUAUCAAACAGGAUUAGAUACCCUGGUAGUC
rnacentral:rRNA from 1 species